UACGUAGGGGGCAAGCGUUGUCCGGAUUUAUUGGGCGUAAAGAGCGUGUAGGCGGCCAUUCAGGUCAGCUGUGAAAACUCGAGGCUCAACCUCGAGACGUCGGUUGAAACCGUUUGGCUAGAGUCCGGAAGAGGAGAGUGGAAUUCCCGGUGUAGCGGUGAAAUGCGCAGAUAUCGGGAAGAACACCCGUGGCGAAGGCGGCCUGCUGGGCAGUUGCUGACACUGAGGCGCGACAGCGUGGGGAGCAAACAGG
rnacentral:rRNA from 1 species